AGACCAGAUGAUGAUGUAACAAGUCACAUUCUAUCUUCCAAGGACAAAAUAUUAAUUAAAGAAAUAUUCAUCAGUGCCUAUAAAGGUAGAGGAGUGUAUACUAAUGAGCCAAUUGAACAGGGCAACUUUGUCUUGGAGUACUGUGGGGAACUUUUAUCAAAGGAAGAAUGCACAAAAAGAGAGUAUUCUGAGAGAGAGAGAGAGCACUUUUUUGUUUGAAUUUGAGUGGAACAAAGCAUGCUGAUGGUUUCGAAACUGUCACUGGCUGGGGUCAAACACUAAAGAAAACAGUCUGGAGAAUCUGUGGAAAGGUGUUUGCUCCCCAGUUGGCAGUUCAUUUUAACUGGUGUGGCAAAGGGGACAAAACACCGAUGAGGAAUACAAACAUCAUAGAUGUGAUUAUCCGUAAGUAAACCAAUGUUUAAGCAAAAGUAAAAUUUGACCUUUCAGUAUAAAGUUUUUAUCCUAAAGGUCUAAACACAUUAUGGAUUUAACCUCCCCAUGCACGUUACAUAAUUCUUUCCCAUAAUUUUCAUUGGUUUUAAUGGCCAAAGUUGCUUUUUUUCAGACUGCAGAUAAAAAGGUAACAAU